rnacentral:snoRNA from 2 species
AUCCUUUUGUGGUUCAUAGCAUGAUGAUUGGGUGUUCACACGCAUGUGUGAAAUGUGCCAGCCUUGAACCUUGUUACAACAUUGGCACAUGACCCAUCUGACC